CUAAGUCUGCUAACCCUUAUUCGUCUUUCUAGAUUUCAGAUAUGAUACGAUUACGAGAGAGAGACCGAGAGGCGAUUGUGUAGACUUCAUACGAGAGAGACAGAGUCCUCAAGUUCCUGACUUCCUUCAAUCGAUCGAUCGACUCGCCUAGUCGCCUGACGUCUCAGUGUCUCACGUCUGUCACUUUGUGUAGCUUCUUCUUCCCUACAGGUAUCAAUCGACCACGCUGUUCACGCCGUCGCCGAUCUACCUUUUCCCUUCGUUUUCUCUUCGUUUUUCAGUCUUAAGUUCUUAACUAAGUGUCUAUGAGACUAUGACUCUAUGUGUUCUGCACUUUUGCUAGACUGCUAUGUUCUACCUCUUUGUUUUCAGUUUGUUUCUGCUAUAGUGCUAUGUUAUGGUUUUUUUAAAAAAAUUUAUGUUCUUAAUUUUUUUUUUUAAUCUAUGUGUUCUGCACUUAAUUUAUGUUCUACCUUUUUGUUGUGGCAAAAAUCUGUGCUUAGAUUGUGAUUUGUGAAUACUGAAUAGUGAAUAGAUAUGUGGACUGAAUUGGGAGUAUAACUGGAGGAUUCUAGACUUUCUAGUUAUUUUUGAUUUGUGAAGCAAAUUAUUUUUUUUUUAAAUUUGGGAUGGCACUUGGCAGUUGGCAGGGCAGUUUUGACCAGGUUAUUUGAGAACCAGAUUCUGCUUUAGUGCUACUGUGUUUGGUCGAAAUUUCAUAACUUGUGGACUUGUCACUUGUGGUGGGUAUUUGAUUGUAGCAUGUUUCUUCAAUUCAUGCUUGUGGUGGGUAUUUUAUUUUUUAUCAUGUUUCUUCAAUUCAUGCUUGUCAAAAUUAUUCAAAAUGAAAUGUGAUAUGACACUGCUAAGUGUUGAACUGCUCGUUUCUUAUUUUUUAUAUAUGUAAGACUUCAUCAUAUGCAGGAUGCAGGUAAAGUCAUCAACGCAGCCAAUUGUUGUGUUAUACUAUCUUUUUGUUAACAGAGAUCUUCUUGUAAUGUUGGUUCAUGUUGCCAUGUUGGUUCUAGUUGUAAUGUUACCUGAUUCAGGCAAAUGCAAUGUGUUUACAAAUGUAGAUCUUGUAAAUAAAUGUAAAUAACCCACUUAGAUAUGCAGAUGUGUUUACAAAUGUAGAUGGUUUGUUUACAAAUGCAGUGUUACCACUUACCAGGGG
rnacentral:lncRNA from 1 species